UACGAAGGGGGCUAGCGUUGCUCGGAAUUACUGGGCGUAAAGCGUGCGCAGGCGGUGAUGUAAGACAGAUGUGAAAUCCCCGGGCUCAACCUGGGAACUGCAUUUGUGACUGCAUCGCUGGAGUACGGCAGAGGGGGAUGGAAUUCCGCGUGUAGCAGUGAAAUGCGUAGAUAUGCGGAGGAACACCGAUGGCGAAGGCAAUCCCCUGGGCCUGUACUGACGCUCAUGCACGAAAGCGUGGGUAGCAAACGGG
rnacentral:rRNA from 1 species